rnacentral:rRNA from 1 species
AGUGAACGCUGGCGGUAGGCCUAACACAUGCAAGUCGAACGGCAGCACAGUAAGAGCUUGCUCUUACGGGUGGCGAGUGGCGGACGGGUGAGGAAUACAUCGGAAUCUACUUUUUCGUGGGGGAUAACGUAGGGAAACUUACGCUAAUACCGCAUACGAUCUACGGGUGAAAGCAGGGGAUCUUCGGACCUUGCGCGAUUGAAUGAGCCGAUGUCGGAUUAGCUAGUUGGCGGGGUAAAGGCCCACCAAGGCGACGAUCCGUAGCUGGUCUGAGAGGAUGAUCGGCCACACUGGAACUGAGACACGGUCCAGACUCCUACGGGAGGCAGCAGUGGGGAAUAUUGGGCAAUGGGCGCAAGCCUGAUCCAGCCAUACCGCGUGGGUGAAGAAGGCCUUCGGGUUGUAAAGCCCUUUUGUUGGGAAAGAAAAGCAGCAGGUUAAUACCCCGCUGUUCUGACGGUACCCAAAGAAUAAGCACCGGCUAACUUCGUG